AACUCGCGGGGAUUGUUUUCCACACCGUGGAAGCUUUGUUCUUUUCGUUUUUUGCAAUAAAUCUUGUUGCUGCUCGCUUUUUGGGUCCACAUUGCUUUUAUGAGCUGUACCACUCACCGUGAAGAUCUGCAGCUUCACUUCAGAGCCUAGCGAGACCACAAGCUCACUGAGAGGAACAAACAACUCCAGACGCGCUGUCUUAAGAGCUAUAACACUCACCGCGAAGGUGUGCAGUUUCACUCCUGAGCUAGUGAGACUACGAAGCCACUGGAACGAAGAAACUCCAACCACGUUUGAACAUCAGAAGGGGCAGACUCCAGACGCUUCAUCUUAAGAGCUGUAACACUCACUGUGAAGGUCUGCAGCUUCACUCCUGAGCCAGCGAGACCACGAACCGAUCUGAACAUCAGAAGGGACAGACUCCAGAUGCCCCACCUUAAGAGCUGUAAUACUCACUGCAAGGGUCUGCAGCUUCAUUCUUGAAGUCAGACCAAGAACCCAGCAAUUCCCAACACACAGGGACCAGCUUCUUUCCUAACUCACUUAGGCUCUUCGUGCUGCUCUGGCAACUAACACCCUUGGCUGCAGGGGCUUGGACACUACCCUUAGUCACUGACAAUUGUGUGAAGGCUGCUGUCGUUAACUUCACUUGAUCACCUUAGGCUCCUGUGAAGUGGUGAGCAAUUCAAACAAAUUCCUGUCGUCAAAUCAUAAUCCUGAUUUUGUUUGGAAGGACAGCGUGCCUGGUUCCAGGAUAUACAUCUUUCCACACCAAUAGACCUUGUUUUCCGAUGUAGCAUUAUUUUUCAUAGUUGGCGAAUAUACAGUUAUGGAUUCAUAACAGCAAGAUGGAGAAAUUGCACUGCAGAGAAAUCUUUAAAAGCAAUUACCUAAUACUGCAGAUUGCUGAACUGUACCCACACCCAAGACUGAGCAUUGGAUCAAUCCAGAAUAUACAUCAGGUGUUCUGCAAUGUCUGCCUAAAACCAUGACUCUGCCUCCUCCAGCUGUUGCUACAUCUCACUAUGGGUUUCCUGUGACAUUUUGAGCAAGUAUGCCUCUGUGACUGGGGUUCUUACACUCCAGAAUGGAUGAGAAGCACCGUAAGUGGCUUUUAAAAUGAAUAUUCCCUGGCCCUUCAGUCGCUCUAUAGGUCAAGAAUCUGAAUUCUCAACCUGUCUAGAAGGUUCUGGUUUUAAUGGUCUGUGGGCUGCACAUUGAGAAACCUGUUCAGCGAGUGCAACAAAGGUUCCACAUGUGAGAAAGGAAGCAUCAGGUCUCUUGAGCCUGUUCUUUAAUCUGUAGGCUGCACCUUCUCUUUAAAUUCUGCUAAUAACACCAUGCGAGAAAACACCCGAGCUUGAAAAGCCCAUGUUCCAACAUAACUGUCCUUCACCACUCUGGAAAAUUAAUGGUUUGUUUCGAUUAUCCCUUUGUUAAACUCCAAAGUCAAAGAGCUCUGAAAGGCAUACGGUUAUUUUAAGUUUCAGGUGAUUUCUGUUGCCAAAUAUUUUAAAAAUUUAAAAUUGCUACGUGACCUCUUAGUAGUACUAUUAGAUUUCCUGACAAUAAAAAUAAGUCUUUUGGUUUCACCAUUUAUAGUUAGUACAGCUAAUAUUAAGUAUAAUUUUAAAAGCCUUUUAUUUUCUCAGAAAGAAAAAAUAAUCAAAAUCUGCUCAGUGUGGUAUUGAAUAAUUAAAAACAAAAGAACAGUAUCUUCACAUUAGUGUUUAAUAUUAAUUGCUUUUUUACCCUUGACACUGGUGCUAAUUAAAUUUUCAUUUUAUUUUCCAUGACUUGUUUAAACAGUUUUUGCAAAUUAUUGCUAAUCAGCCUAAUAAAACUGAAUCACCUAUUAAACAAUUUUGUUUUGAAUUAAAUGGCAUUAAAAUAAUUCUGGCUGCCUUGUGUUAUAAUGUGUUACAAGAAUACCAACCGCUACAGGUAAUAUG
rnacentral:lncRNA from 1 species